AUGUUUAACCAAUCUAAUCAGUCUCUUGAUGGUGCUGCGGGGUCUCCGCCUCUAUCAAAGUAGAUUGGAAUUGAGUGUCUUACCUUGUCUGAAUCUGACAAGGUUCACUUGAAAUGCAGGGGAACAAGAUCUUGGGAUUCUUUCCCAAGACGUUGGCAUUCCAUCUAACAAUGACUUGAUGAAUGAAAAGAGAGAUCUCUCUUGUCUCAUCUCAAAAAGUCUUGCUUAGAAAAGUCUCGGCUCUUAACCAAGAGCACAUGCUCUCUUGUUUCCACAACUAGGGAAGCGCGUCAAGAGUUCUCUCUUGGCCCUCGAAU
rnacentral:misc_RNA from 1 species